rnacentral:rRNA from 1 species
UACGGAGGGUCCAAGCGUUAUCCGGAAUCAUUGGGUUUAAAGGGUCCGUAGGCGGUUUAGUAAGUCAGUGGUGAAAGCCCAUCGCUCAACGGUGGAACGGCCAUUGAUACUGCUAAACUUGAAUUAUUGGGAAGUAACUAGAAUAUGUAGUGUAGCGGUGAAAUGCUUAGAUAUUACAUGGAAUACCAAUUGCGAAGGCAGGUUACUAUCAAUAUAUUGACGCUGAUGGACGAAAGCGUGGGGAGCGAACAGG